AGUGUAAUUUUCAAAUAAUGAAUGAUAAUGUCAUGGAUGACAUCAUCAUUCACAUAUUUUCUUACCUAAUUGCCUUUUAGUUAUUAAGAGAAAAAAAAAAAAAAGAAAUAAAAUAAUGGGGGACAAAAGAAAAAGAAAAGAAAUGCAUCAUUGGGUGCCACUAUAUGUAAUAAGUGCUGUAUGUGAGGUUGAGAGAAUAUGCAGUGUGUAGUUUAUAUAAUGAAUAAACAAAAAAAGAGAGGAAGAGAGAGCCUAGGAGGAAGAUGAGAGAGAAAAAAAAAAAACUCUUGAGAAAAGAGAGAAAUAGAGGACAGAGUCAAAGAAAAAAUAGAGAAGGAAAAAAAGAAGAACAAAGGCAUCAAAAUCGAAACACUCCCGAUAUUCCUAUUGUGUGGUGAGAACUCGAAAGCCUGGCGAUGGCGGGAAGUGGGAGGAGAGAGUGGAGAAGAUAUGCGUAAAAGACGGGGUAUAAUAUUAAUUCUUCAAAUACUGAAAAUAUUGUAUUUAUAUAUAUUUUUAAGUUUUAAAAAUUCGCAAAGCCAGAACUUUAUUUCUUAUGGGGAACAGAUUUCGUGUUUUAAUCAAACGUUCUCAUAUAAGUUGGAAUGACUCAAUUUAAGUUUCGUUAGAAAGUUAUUAGAAUUAUCUACAAAACUUAUUUAUAACCUCUCUUUCAAAUUCCAUCUCUAAGGAGGCGAAAUUAGACUAGAAUAGAAAUUUCGAAACUGGAAAAAAACAAAUAAAUAGUUGAACAGAAAGUUACGAAUUUGGAAAAAAAAACUAGUUACAUAUGUUAGAAAAUAAAUAUUUUAUAUGUGAUUACCAAUUAUGUGUAUAGGAGCUAAUUAUUUAAUGUCAUAAAUUAUGAAAGGAUUUUAAUGUCCAACCAAAUAUUUAUAAACUUAAACUGCUGUCAGUAAAAUUAUGUGCAGAAAAAUGCAAAGUUUAUAAUUUCUUAAAAAAAGUUAAAUAGUUUAGAAAUUAUAAUAAUUUUACUGUAGAUACAUAUAUGUUGUCUAAUGUGUUGUGUAAACGUUUCAAGAGUUAAACCUUAUAACCUAGAAUUUUUAUAAAAUAUCUAAACCGAGCUACUGACAGAAGAAAUUUUUGUGCAGAAACUGAAGUGUUAGAAUAAUUUCUGAAAUAGUUAUUAUAGUUAUUAAAAAAUAUAUAUAAUUUUACAUGUAGAUCAUAUAUGUGUCUAAGAUAUUGUGUAAAAUUUUCAGAGUAAAAUUAUUAACCGAGAAUUUUUAUAAAAAUCAUAACAACUGAUGUCUUGAAAACUUAGUUAUAAACAAAUUUUGUAGGAAGUUAAUUCGAAUUAUUUAAAAUUUAAAUUCUACAUGAGAAAAUUAUUAAAAUGUCAGUAUAUUUUCAAGUCACGAGACCAUUAAAUCUAACCAUUAUACUAUUAAACUUAGGACCCAAAAACGAAAGAACCCUCAAUCUAGCAUACGAGUGGAUACGAGAAGGGCGUAGAAGACCAUUAAGGUGAGUCUUGUUAUAUUUUACUUACUUAAAUUAUUUUGGAUAAGAUAGCAUGUGUUGUAGUUUAACCUAUAUUUUAUGUUGAAAGCCAUGCUAUGUUUUAAUUGUGCCAUGAAAAGUGAAAAUGUAUGACUUUGUGGAAAUAUGAUUUUAGACGACACAGGUUCAACGGUGCCCCGAGCUAGGGGAAAAAAAAGAAUAUAGCGGGUAUGAUGAAAUAAGGAGAUCAUUGUCAGGAUUUAGGAUGAUAUCAGCCAUUUAUAUUAUUGGGGUCGCUCCUAUUACGGUGAUCGUUGAACGGGAUGUGUGUCGCAAGUGUCAAUCGAUAUGAUGAUGAUUUUGAUAGGAUGAUAUCAAGGGAAAUUUGGCAUAGGUGAGCCAUGGUUGAAAACAAAAUGAUUGACAAAAUGGGAAAAAUAUAUGUAAGUAUAAAAUGAUUUGAUGUGGUUUACUUUAUGGCACAAUGUAUGUUUUAAAUAAUUGGACUCACACUAGCAUAGUGCCUUAAGACGUAGUGCGUACGUAACAUUUCAGGGUAAUGAGAACGAAGUGGAAACGCAAUUUGAAGGGCGGGUGACCCUAGUGUUGAUGGGGGAAGGCCUAUACUAUAAAAUCAGUAUAGGAAUGAUAAAAUCUGAAUGUUUAUUAGUUUUAUUAAGAUUGCUACAAAUAAUUAGGAUAAAAUUGUGUUUGCUCUAUUUUAUUCAGGAUGGAAUGAAAGAGUAUUUGUAUAAUAUGUAUGACACAUCGCUCUGUUAUUUUGAAUUAUUUUCCAAAUGAUUUAUGGUAUUCAAGUAAGUAACUGAAUUAAUAGAAAAAUCUCUAACUGAAUGAGAAAUAGGCCUUAGUGAGUGGGAUCUCAUUGGGCCGUAGAUAGUACCACAAAUAAAGGUGGACCCACAUGUAUAUAAUUGGGUUGGGUCGUGACAGUGUGGGAGUGUGGAUAUUUGAAUAGAAGAAGAAAAAUCGAAAAUAGACACUUGCAGUGACAAAACAAUAGUUGUGGUCGUUGUAGGUUGCCGGAUAGAACUGCAAAACAGGACCAAUGAGGAUGGCCACUGAAGUUAUUUCGGAACUCUUUUGACGAUCAAGCAAGUGACUAAAAGUGUUUAGAGAGAGAGAGAGUUUUGGCUUUAGAUAGUUGAAAAUACCAAAUACUAUGUACCUCGAGAGCAGAAGGGUACUGCCCUUUUAUAACACAAUUUUGGCGCGUGCCUGAAUGCGCUAACCGCCAUGUCACUAAACAGACUAUAACUCGGUGCAUGUUGGGGCAUGCUGACUACUAUAUCAGUGAGCAGGCGGCUAACCCGGCCAUACCCCUAAGGGACAGUUGGUAGCUACCCCAUCAUGUCGCCGGCGUCUCGGUCCAAGCGUGGAGAGUGUCAGAGAAAACUUCGUCGUGCAAGUCACCAUCUGCCCUUGACGUGCCUUGGGAACCCUACCGAUGGUUGCAUCUGGACAGAGCUCUAGCGCAGAGACCCCACCGAACUUGCUAUGGAAUGAUAGGCCGGCAGCGGUAUUUGCCUUAACUUGGCCAGAGCUGAUACUUGAUAUUUUAUCUCUUUACAAAACUCUAGUCCUAUACAUACCCACAAAAAUUAUAUAUCUUCUUUUCUGACAUACUAAAAUUACGAGUAAAAUUAGUAAUUGUGCGCUAUUCACAUUAAUGGUCUAGGGGUCAGCUCCAUUUCUGAUAGCUGAAGGUGUUAACUUGUAGCAUUUUUAGUUCAGGGCGAAAAAUAGGGAUAAUUUAGGGUGUAACGUGUAGUUAACCCAUUCUUUUAUUUCGGGAGAAGAGGGCAAAAACGAUGGCUCUUUUAGAGCAAUGCUAUACACGCCAUCAUAUCAGCCGUCCACACAAACCUAUUUAAGAGGAUUUGUAUAAAUGUAUGUGCAAUUGAGUGUAUUAAUAGCAUGAUAUCGGCUCGCUCUUAGACUAUUAUCCUCCAUAUCCGUUCAUACUCAUCUCGUGUGCGUGACACUUGAGACUGCAUCGAUGAUCCUCAACCGUUCAUUAGUGCGGGGCCGAAAAAUGAAUAUGAACGGUUAUAUAAAAAUAUAAGACAGUGGUAUGGGUUGAGCCGAACCAUAGCAUUACUUCUCUUUUCUGUACUACAGAAGUACACCAUAGCCAAUUUUUAAUGGUCUUUGUACUGCAUAUAUAUACGACCUUAAUAAGUACAAUUUCCCAAUCUUCUAGGUGUUCUUUAACUAUGCGUCGGGAUCGAUAAUUACAUUCUUGCCACUACAGUCAGACCUGCUGUUUGUGUUAAAUUUCAGGAUUCCUACCUUUAGAAAGGCAGUAACUAAUGCAAAAAAAUAAAUAAAUGAAGGAGCCAUUUAAUAACAAAUGGGAAAUGAUAAUCACAAUUUAUUGGGAGGUCUGUUCAAAAAAUGUAUUAAAAUAUAGAAAAACUAAAUUGUUUUGAAAUGUGUAAAAAUCUAUAUUGAAAUUCUAGCUAUUUUGGUUUGUAUAUAUAUCCCUUAACCAUGGUCCAAAAUAUGGUUGUUAGCAUUAGGGGUGGGAAAAAAAACGACGAACUGAACCAACCCACCGGACCGGACUGAACCAUCGGUUUUCAGCUAUCCAUCGCGGUUCAGUCCACGGUCUACAGGAAUUUCGCUUUCGGUUUCAAUCCGAUCUGAGAAAAAAAUCGAACUAAACCGAUAAACUUUUAUAUAUAUUAAUAUAUAUAGAUAUUUAAUCUCGAUCAUUCAUUUAAAUCAUAAUCCUAAUCUAAACUCAGUGUCCUCAUAUAAAUAAGAAAAAAAAUAAGUAGUAUGUGCCUCUGUUAUUACACACAGACAGAAACAGCGGUUGCUCUAAGCCUCUCACCCAUAAGCUCUAAGCCUCUCACCCAUAAAACGCCUUUGAGUCCUCGACGAACUCAUUAAGGAAGAACGACGAAGGUGAUCUCUCUUUCUCUCUUUCUUUCGAGGCAUGCACGGCUGCACCAUCCAAAGCCUUUACUGCAACCGGCUCCCGGUGGCGCCUACCAAAUCAAAUUUUAACAAUAACAUUGCUUAAAUGAUACAAUAAAUUGAAGGUGCUCACCAGACUGCUAUAAGAGUUAUCAAAGCGAAAUUAUAGCUAGACCACUCAAAAAAUCUACUCUACUGGUUAACCAAAAUUCAUAGCAAAAAUGGUCCAUCCCGCCCAAAAUAAUUGCCAAUUACACUAUCAGAACUUUAUUGUCAAAAUUUAACAUUUUAACACUGUUUACCUGCCAAAUUAUAGCUUAAGCAUUUCCAUUUUAGGAAUGACCGGAGAUAUUGUAGGGGAUGUGUUUGUUUAUUUUUUUUCACAAGAUAACGUUAGUAGGUUAGUAAGUUAGAUUACUACAACAGAUGAAUGUUACUCCAUCAACUCAAAUUUGAAGAUCACUUAAGCUAAAGCAGGUUUUUUGUGCAAGAGCUUUGUCAACUAAAUUUUCUAUUCUUUUAGGAAAAUGAUAUUCAUACGCAUGUUUAUAAACUAUAAAGUGUCUAAAAGUAGUAUGUUUAUGUGUGCU
rnacentral:lncRNA from 1 species